rnacentral:snoRNA from 1 species
UCAGAUGAUGAUAUAUUUUUAACCCUUACGAUACUCAAAGAGGUAUUCAUGGAGAUAAAAAACUAUGCAACAAACACUCUAAUUUUUUACUGAAC